ensembl:lncRNA
GCAUAAUUCUAAUUCUCGACGUCGAACCCGCUCAGCUUGAGACAAUCGAUGUGUGUCAACUUGCAUCUUCUCUAUUGUCAUUUCUGAGGGGACUUCAAAUGAAUUCUUAUGUGGUAUGAAAGCUGUUUGUUGUACCUCUUGAUAACACCCUUGAGAUCUUUGGUGCACACGGAGGGUUUGUUGUAUAAAUUUCUCAAGUCCGAUGGCAUCAUCAUAAAUUGCAAGUUGGAGGCGAAGUGCAGGAUUUAAACCACGUCGAUAGACAGAAAGUAGAGCCUUUUCGUCCCACCCACUUGCAGCUGCUAAGGUUCGGAAUUCCAGAGAAUAUUCUGAGACUGAUCUUUUACCUUGGCGUAAUUGUAACAGUUUAUCACUAACCGUUGAAUCUUCUACAGGACGUCCAAAAACUUCUUUGAAGUGAUUUAUAAAGUCCUGUACUGAGGAUGUAACUGUCGUUUCCUGUGUCCACAAUGUUUCAGCCCAUCUUAAUGCCGCGCCCGAUAACUGCUGGAUAAUGAAAGAAACUUUAGAUUUUUCAGUUGGAUAUAACUGUGUCUGUUGUUCAAGGGCAAGUGAACACUGCAACAGAAAACCGUUGCAGUCCUCCGCCCGGCCGGAGAAUGGCGCUGGUCGUGACGUGGGGUUAGCGAAGCAAACCAGUGUGGAAGCGCUGGUUGCGGGCGGUGUAGGAUUCAUAGCCGUGAAGUUUAUCCUCCUUUUCUACGGUCAAGCCUUCUGUCAGGAUACAAGCAUGGAGAUCGAGAUGUGAACGGUAGCAAUCGACUCAGACGGAACCGUAGAGAAAUCAGGAGCACACGGGAUCGCGGACAUCAGGAACCAGAUCUGGAGACAGUAGAACAGGAACACAAGGGUUAGUGAAACUCAGAUAAGUACGUUACGUCAGGAUUUCUCAGAGGAAUCAGAGACUCUGGAUAAAACUGGUUAAGGUCCGUUCCUGUUGGAGGCUUGACAACAACUGGAGUUACUGAGGGAAUUUUAUGUGUUGGUUGAUGAAGCAGUUGAUAUAGAACAGGUGCAAGUGAUUAGUACUCUGGAGAGAGUGAUCUCUGUGUGGUGGAUGGCACUGAGCUUGAUUGGUCCCUGACAACUCCUCAGCCACACUGUGAAUUAAGUGAGUCUCAAAUUACCAUUUUUAAUGUAGAAUGUUAAUAAUGCAACUACCACCAGUAGCUCUUACCUCCUGGACAAACUCGGCGCACCAAUAAAUCAUGCCACUUCCGAGACCCCGAAUGCCGCGCAUAGUUAGAUGUCAGUCUCAUCUCCUUUUAUACCCGUGCAACAUACCAUUUCAUCCCCAAUAACUAAAAUGGUUAAAGGCAUUACCACACAAACAUAAAUGCAAACGCAAACACAAACAUAGAUUCAAACGCAAACACUAAGUCUCACAGAAAUGCAAACAUACGGCAAAACAAACAUACAUGCAAACACAAACUCUCAAUUACAACCAAACACUCAAUACAAACACAAGCAUACACAAACACGCAAACAUUAAUGGAAAUGCAAACACAAACAUAGAUGCAAACGCAAACACUAACUCUCACAGAAACACAAACAUACAGCAAACCACAAAUAUACAUGCAAAACGCAAACCCAAAUAUACACACAAAUGCAAACAUACACACACAAACAAACACUGCAGGUAAAAAUGUAAACUUUUACGAUUUCUCAUGCAAACCUUUUACAAAUAAAUACUUUUAGCAUCACACUGUGUAUCUCUACAAGAUGAUGACGUAACUUUUGUUUUAACAAAUAAGUUAAGUUUUGUAGAUUUUUCAAACCUAAAACCAUGAUACUCUAAUGCAGGGAUAAGAAGUAGUCAAAUGAUCUGCUGAUGAAUGCAAGGCACUUACAGAGAGUUUUUUUAUGAAUUAGACCUAAAU